UGAAUACGAGACGCUAAGGCGUCGAAGUAGUGUAUGUCAUACUUCCAAGAAAAGCUUGCACUGUCAUAAGUAAAAAAUGCCUGUACCAUAACCGACACAGGUGGGUAGGUAGAGUAUACUAAGGGGCGCGAGAUAACUCUCUCUAAGGAACUCGGCAAAAUAACUCCGUAACUUCGGGAGAAGGAGUACCUUAUUCUAUAAGGUUGCAAUAACAAGAUCCAAGCAACUGUUUAUCAAAAACACAGGUCUCCGCUAAGUCGUAAGACGAUGUAUGGGGGCUGACGCCUGCCCAGUGCCAGAAGGUUAAAGAAGUCGGUUAGCAUUAGCGAAGCUGGUAACUGAAGCCCUGGUGAACGGCGGCCGUAACAAUAACGGUCCUAAGGUAGCGAAAUUCCUUGUCGGGUAAGUUCCGACCCGCACGAAAGGCGUAAUGAUUUGGAUACUGUCUCGGAGAGGGGCUCGGUGAAAUAGACUUGUCUGUGAAGAUGCGGACUACCUGCACCAGGACAGAAAGACCCUAUGAAGCUUUACUGUAACUUGAAAUUGAAAUUGGACUUUAUUCGCGCAGUAUAGGUGGGAGGUGUUGAUUAUAAUCUUGCGGGAUUAUUGGAGCCAUCAGUGAGAUACCACUCUUGUAAUGUUAGAUUUCUAACUUUGAAUCAUUAUCUGGUCAAAGGACAGUUUCAGGCGGGCAGUUUGACUGGGGCGGUCGCCUCCCAAACGGUAACGGAGGCGUAUAAAGGUUUCCUCUGAAUGGGUAGAAAUCGUAUCUAGAGUGUAAAGGCAUAAGGAAGCUUGACUGUGAGACCUACAAGUCGAACAGGGACGAAAGUCGGUCUUAGUGAUCUGACGGUACUGAGUGGAAAGGCCGUCACUCAACGGAUAAAAGUUACUCUAAGGAUAACAGGCUGAUCUCCCCCAAGAGUUCACAUCGACGGGGAGGUUUGGCACCUUGAUGUCGGCUCAUCGCAUCCUGGGGCGGUAGUACGUCCCAAGGGUUGGGCUGUUCGCCCAUGAAAGCGGUACGCGAGCUGGGUUCAGAACGUCGUGAGACAGUUCGGUCCAUAUCCGGUGUAGGCGUUAGAAUAUUGAGAGGAGCCUUCUUUAGUACGAGAGGACCGAGAAGGACAUACCUCUGGUGUACCAGUUAUCGUGCCAACGGUAAACGCUGGGUAGCUAUGUAUGGAGUGGAUAACCGCUGAAAGCAUCUAAGUGGGAAGCCCACCUCAAGAUAAG
rnacentral:rRNA from 1 species